rnacentral:lncRNA from 1 species
UGGAACAAAGGCAGGGUGUGGCUCUCAUAGCUGCAGCAGGGCUCAGAAGAGGAAGCAGGAAGCUGGAGUGAAGGAGGUCGGAAGGCUUGGCCAUGACUGAGGAAAUCCGUAAGAUCCAGGGCAACUGGGUGAUCACUUGGGUAAACACCCGGAAGCCCUUGGCCAAGCUGGACGAACCAGUGAACAGCUCUCAAAUAAAGAAGGAGGAAGAGGGGGAAGAGGAGGAUGAUGAUGAUGAUGAGGCAGAGGAAGAGGAGGAGGAGGAGGCAGCGGUAAGAGAAGAGGAGGAGGAGGAGGCAGCGAUAAAAGAAGAGGAGGAAGAGGAGGAGGCAGCAGUGAAAGAAGAGGAGGAGGAGGAGGAGGAGGAGAGCUCAUCUGAGGCUGAGCAAAAUGAGUCAGAGAACAGGCAGAAGGUCAUUGACCAAGUCCUGUCAGUUCUGGAGCAGAGUCCCGAAAGACAGCAGGGGCAGAGUUCCAACACACACCUGGAGCAGAGUGCCAACAGACGCCGCAAGCGCACGGUGGUGGUGCUCUACUAUAGAGGGAAGAAGAGGAGGGAAGAAGAUGAGAAGCCUGUGCUUCAGGGCCCACCCUUGGAGGAGAUAGUGGAGGAGGCCAAACCCGCAGGAGCCCUGCCCUGGGGGACUCCAGAAGCUGUGCGGAAGAUACUGCAAGGAGCAGUCAGCACAGCAGUGGGUGGAGCAGUCAACACAGUAGGCGGAGCAGUCAGCACAGUAGGCGGAGCAGUCAGCACUGCAGUGGGUGGAGCAGUCAACA